GAGAACCUGGGAAGGGAGCAGGGGAGGCAGAACAGGAAGGGGAAAGAAGCCAGGCAGAGGUGCAACUUCAGGCCAAGUCUGCAGCCUGAUCCUGCAGGAAACUCUGGGAUAAGACAGACCUCCGAGAAUUGUCCCAACCCAAGGAGUUGGGCUUUCAAUCCUGUAUUAGUCUGUCCUUGGUUUGUCUCUGUGGGACAGAUGAAACAGCAGAGAUGAAGAAACCCAGGCUCAAGAAGAUUAAGCAAUUCCCCCAGUGCCCCACUGGGUGUGUGGGGGCAGGUCUGGAGCCCAGGCAAUCUGACUUUAGGGCCCCAGUCUUUGCCCCGCCCUGACUCUAGACGCCUGCCUCACUGACAUGAGGACACUGAUGCCGGGAGCAGCCUGCAGGGCUCACCCAGCUGGUAAGCAGCAAGAAGGAAUUGGGACACAGUUCUUGCCAAACCGCUUUUCCAUCUACGCUUCCAUUUGCUGCAGCCCCACAAGGCUCCAUCUGCCCUCACAGCUCCCCACCUGGGAUAUCCAAAAGGCAUUUGCAUCUUAGCAUGCCCAGGGCUGCACUCCCUGCCUUCCACUGCCCCAGACGACGAUUCCCUCCCAUGCUUCCAGACCUUCGUGUUAAAGUCGACUCAUCCUGCCAGCUUCUCCGACCAGCACGAGAAUGCAAACUCUGCAGGUCAGAGAUUUUUGUCUGUUUUGUUUAUUGCUGCAUCCUCAGUCUGGAACACAGCAAGUACCCAAUCAAUAUUUGCUAGAAUAAGAUGAAGGGCACACAGCAGAUGAUUAAUAAAUGUUGCUAUGAUGAUGAUCAUUUUUACAACAUUCGAUUAGCUUCACUUAACCAAAUAUGUCAUGAAAACGGUGUGUUGGUGAGCUUAAUUUUCCGGUUUAUUGUGAAUUAAGUCAUUGUUGAUGAAAGAACACAUUUUCAACUGUACUUUAAAAAACAACUCUUCUCUAAAAAUAAGGAUUGAUUAAAAUGUCUUGCUUGCUGACUUAACACCCAAAGCUCACGGAACGGCCUUCAUCAGGUCUAAUAAACAACACUCUCCAGGCCCUUGCCAGCAAGUACCACCUCUGUGUCUCUCUUCUCUGGAGCUCGCAGCAAACUCUCAUGGAGGGACAGGAUCGUAGGGAUGACAGGGCAAGCGAGCACUGCUCUCGCCUUCUAGGAGUCUGAUUGUUCCUCUGGCUACAGGCAGAGCUGGAAGCGUCCGUAUUCGUGCUGU
rnacentral:lncRNA from 1 species